UCUCUCUCUAAACACCAUCUUCUUCAUUUCUCUAGAGUUUCUCUCUCAUCAAACCCAACGAAUCGGAACAAAUUUCAAUUUAAAUCACUGAAAAAUUGCUUCAAAAUACUCCAAAAUUGCUUCAAAUGUCUGAUAUUCGAGAAGAAAUUAAACAAUCACAACAAAAAGAGUAAGUAAUUUCGUUAGUUUUGUUCAUUUUUUGAGAUUGUAGUGCAAUUUUAUGUGUGAAACCUUAAUUUUGUUCAUUUUGUUGCGAUUGUAGUGCGAUUUUGCAAAAAACCACUACAGAGAAGAACAUGCAAGAAGAAACUGCAAAAUCGGAGCAAAAUGUAUCUAAAGAAGACGAUGAUGAUGAUGUACCUCUUCAGUCAAGAGUAGACAAAUUGAAAAAAAAACCGCCAAAAUGAUCCAAUUGUAGAUCCGGAACUUUUAAAAGAUAUUGACAAGUCAAUUGGUACGGAUUUAACAAUGUCUCCACUACCAAGCAAGCAAGAAGAAGUUCAACCAAAAGUGCAAAGCAAUCCAGUAAAGAAUAGUCUUGGCCAAAAGAAGUACAAAGAAUCGACAAUCAGAAUUAUGAGAAAUCUCAAAAGAAUGGAAAAGGCAAGCAAGGAAAUCAGGAAAGGUGAAGCAAAAAAGAAAGAAAAAGGGCCAAUAGAAGAGAAAACUGUGG